GAUGAACGCUGGCGGCGUGCUUAACACAUGCAAGUCGAACGGAAAGGCCAGUGCUUGCACUGGUACUCGAGUGGCGAACGGGUGAGUAACACGUGGGUGAUCUGCCCUGCACUUCGGGAUAAGCCUGGGAAACUGGGUCUAAUACCGGAUAGGACAAUGGUUUGGAUGCCGUUGUGGAAAGUUUUUUCGGUGUGGGAUGAGCUCGCGGCCUAUCAGCUUGUUGGUGGGGUAAUGGCCUACCAAGGCGUCGACGGGUAGCCGGCCUGAGAGGGUGUACGGCCACAUUGGGACUGAGAUACGGCCCAGACUCCUGCGGGAGGCAGCAGUGGGGAAUAUUGGACAAUGGGCGCAAGCCUGAUGCAGCGACGCCGCGUGGGGGAUGACGGCCUUCGGGUUGUAAACUCCUUUCGCUAGGGACGAAGCGUAUUUGUGACGGUACCUGGAGAAGAAGCACCGGCUAACUACGUG
rnacentral:rRNA from 1 species